rnacentral:rRNA from 1 species
ACGGAGAGUUUGAUCCUGGCUCAGGAUGAACGCUGGCGGCGUGCUUAACACAUGCAAGUCGAACGAACCUUCGGGUUAGUGGCGGACGGGUGAGUAACGCGUGGGAAUCUGCCCUCAGGAGGGGGAUAACGGCUGGAAACGGCCGCUAAUACCCCAUAUGCCGAGAGGUGAAAUGAAUUUCGCCUGAGGAUGAGCCCGCGUCUGAUUAGCUAGUUGGUGAGGUAAGAGCUCACCAAGGCAUCGAUCAGUAGCUGGUCUGAGAGGAUGAUCAGCCACACUGGGACUGAGACACGGCCCAGACUCCUACGGGAGGCAGCAGUGGGGAAUUUUCCGCAAUGGGCGAAAGCCUGACGGAGCAACGCCGCGUGAGGGAUGAAGGCCUCUGGGCUGUAAACCUCUUUUCUCAAGGAAGAAGAUCUGACGGUACUUGAGGAAUAAGCCACGGCUAAUUCCGUGCCAGCAGCCGCGGUAAUACGGGAGUGGCAAGCGUUAUCCGGAAUUAUUGGGCGUAAAGCGUCCGCAGGCGGCCUUUCAAGUCUGCUGUUAAAACGUGGAGCUUAACUCCAUCAUGGCAGUGGAAACUGUUGGGCUUGAGUGUGGUAGGGGCAGAGGGAAUUCCCGGUGUAGCGGUGAAAUGCGUAGAUAUCGGGAAGAACACCAGUGGCGAAGGCGCUCUGCUGGGCCAUAACUGACGCUCAUGGACGAAAGCCAGGGGAGCGAAAGGGAUUAGAUACCCCUGUAGUCCUGGCCGUAAACGAUGAACACUAGGUGUCGGGGGAAUCGACCCCCUCGGUGUCGUAGCCAACGCGUUAAGUGUUCCGCCUGGGGAGUACGCACGCAAGUGUGAAACUCAAAGGAAUUGACGGGGGCCCGCACAAGCGGUGGAGUAUGUGGUUUAAUUCGAUGCAACGCGAAGAACCUUACCAGGGUUUGACAUCCUGCGAAUCUCUUGGAAACGAGAGAGUGCCCUCGGGAACGCAGUGACAGGUGGUGCAUGGCUGUCGUCAGCUCGUGUCGUGAGAUGUUGGGUUAAGUCCCGCAACGAGCGCAACCCACGUCUUUAGUUGCCAGCAUUUAGUUGGGCACUCUAGAGAGACCGCCGGUGAUAAACCGGAGGAAGGUGUGGAUGACGUCAAGUCAUCAUGCCCCUUACAUCCUGGGCUACACACGUACUACAAUGCUACGGACAAAGAGCAGCAAGUUCGCGAGGACAAGCAAAUCUCAUAAACCGUGGCUCAGUUCAGAUCGUAGGCUGCAACUCGCCUACGUGAAGGAGGAAUCGCUAGUAAUCGCAGGUCAGCAUACUGCGGUGAAUACGUUCCCGGGCCUUGUACACACCGCCCGUCACACCAUGGAAGUUGGCCACGCCCGAAGCCGUUACUCCAACCCUUGUGGAGGAGGACGUCGAAGGUGGGGCUGAUGACUGGGGUGAAGUCGUAACAAGGUAGCCGUACCGGAAGGUGCGGCUGGAUCACCUCCU